rnacentral:rRNA from 1 species
AUUGAACGCUGGCGGCAUGCCUAACACAUGCAAGUCGAGCGAGGUUGGCUUAGGCCAGCCUAGUGGCGGACGGGUGAGUAAUGCGUGGGAAUCUGCCUCGUAGUGGGGGAUAACGUAGGGAAACUUACGCUAAUACCGCAUACGCUCUACGGAGGAAGGGGGGGGAUCUUUGGACCUCUCGCUAUGAGAUGACCCCACGUCUGAUUAGCUAGUUGGUGGGGUAAAGGCCUACCAAGGCGACGAUCAGUAGCCGGCCUGAGAGGGUGUACGGCCACACUGGGACUGAGACACGGCCCACACUCCUACGGGAGGCAGCAGUGGGGAAUAUUGGACAAUGGACGAAAGCCUGAUCCAGCAAUGCCGCGUGUGUGAAGAAGGCCUGCGGGUUGUAAAGCACUUUAGGUGGGGAAGAAUGGGAUUGCGCUAAUACCGUGAUUCUUUGACGUUACCCACAGAAUAAGCACCGGCUAACUCCGUGCCAGCAGCCGCGGUAAUACGGAGGGUGCGAGCGUUAAUCGGAAUUACUGGGUGUAAAGCGCAUGUAGGCGGUUUGAUAAGUCGGAUGUGAA